AUCACUUGUAUUAUCCAUGAGAUAUAGAUAAUAUUUUAUUUUUCUCUUCAAUCUCAUCAAAUUUAUCAAAAAAUACUAUGUUACCUCUAAAACCUAUCAAAAAUGUCCCCCCUUUAUCCCUCCUGAAUCCACCAUAUUUGCUGGUGCCAUUUUCCACAUGGCCUAUACCCCCAUCCUCUUUCUCAUCAUUCCUUGCAGAGUUAAAAGUAUUGUAACACAGCAGAGCCUAUUGUGCUCAAUGCUUGAAACCCUCUCAUGGGUUGCUAGUGCAUUUGGAGUAAAAUUUAAGCUACUUUUAGUGGCCAAGAGUCCAUAUUGGUUAAGAUAAGUUCAUUUGCAAAUAACAGAAAUUCCAAAUAGACGCUAUCUCCAGGAAGAGAGUGUCAGAGUGGAACUGAAUUAGAGGACUUCCAGCUUCAGUCUGCUGCAAAAUUGAUGGCUUGCUUGUUGGUGAGGUGUGGGUUGUGAGAUGGUGUGACCAGUGGAGAACCUGUAUGGGUCUGCAGAAACUCGAUCCUUGCCUCUUCAAAGGAAAGAAUUUGGCCAAGGGGUAGAAGUGGGUUUAAGGCAGCGGGAGAGAUACAGGCAAGUUUUAGAGCAGAGGGCUUUAGUGUGUAGGAAGACAGGUGGGUGAGAUACAGUGAAAUUGGGUGUGUAAUGUAGAAUGUAAUAUUGAACAGAUCAGGUAAGAUUCAAUUCUGAAAGGCUUGUAAGCCAGAAUAAGCAGAAAAGGAAGCAUUGUAACUUCUUAGGCAAGCAAUUGAUAUAGUAAAAAUGAAUUAUGUGUUCAUAAACAAUGUAAAAGAUAAAAAACAUUUUCUUUUGAUAUUUUUGACCAUAAAAUUUUAGGCAUCUGAAGAGUAAGUGCUAUUGUGUCAAAGCCACUGACUCUCUGGGAUGAAUUAAAAUUCUAAACUGGUAGGGAAAAGGUCAGGGAAACUUUUUCUACCUGAGUUUGGGGCAGAUCUAAAAAUCUGUCACAACUUCCCAACUAUGCUAUUGUGGAUCAAAAGCAGCUAUAGACAAUAUGUAAAUGAAGGACUAUGAUUGAUGUUUGACUAGGAAUCAUAAUCCCUGUGGUAGUUACUAUAAUUUUAUAGACGUGAGCAUUUGUUAGAUGGCCUCCCCUCCCACGUCUGCCAUCACUGACAGUGAAAGUCAGCCAGUGACCCUGAAUUGUCUGCCAUUUCUCUCUCCUCUUUGCCCUUGUCAUCCAAUAAGUCUCCCAGCUCUGCCAAUUUUCCUCAGUUUGAGUUUUCAGAUUUUAGCACCUGUAAUAACUGCCCAAGGCUAGGUUCUAAUUAUCUCGCACCUGCAAUAUUUUAAUGACCUCUGGCCAGUUUUCCCGACAUUCGGGGAGACACCCUAACCCAGUAGCAGAUUCAUUUUCAAGAGUGUUCUAAUCACUUCGCCUUCUCUGGGCACAGUCCUGGCUUUCACUGGCCUUUUCUUUCAUUUCAGGGCCCCUGACCUUGGACAUUGGGGUCCUCCUCCAGCUGCUACUUGCAUGUUAUGGCUUUCUUCCCCUGGACUCACCCCUCCUGAUCCCCUAGGGCCACACUGGCCUCCUCCACAGCCAAACACGUUUCCCCUCAGGGUCUGUACUAUUGCCUUUCUUGCUUAUUAUAGAAUGUAUAUGCAUUUUCACAUCUUUACAAUAACACCAGUCUUGACCCAGCUGGUUAGCAACCACCAGCCUUGUCUAUUAUUUUAUGAAUGAAGAGAGCAUCAGAUGCAGUGACUUGCCCGAGGUCACCCAGUAGUAGAAGGGCUGUUUGUCAUUUAGCAUUAUGAUCAUUAUUUAUAUUUCAACUAAUUAUUAUUUGAGCCUAUUUUGUGUCAGGCACUGGGGCACUCCACCUCCCAGGUUCAAGUGAUUCUUGUGCCUCAGCCUCAAAGUAGCUGGGAUUGCAGGCAUGUGCCUUAGAAAAAGACUCAGUCAGAAUCUCUGGGAGCUGGGCCUUGAAAUCAGUAUUUUUAUCAAGCUCCUGAAGUAAUGAGGAGCUUAGCACAGUGUCUGACACUGCAGACUGUCUAUACAUGUUCAGUCUGGAUUUGUCAUAUGGUUUCCCCGUAGUGUCAUUUAACUUGGUUUCUUGGUUUCCAUAUAAUUUGGAAGAUAGGUCUGGAGCAGCACUGCCCGCUUAUUGUGAACUCAUGAAUGCUUUUUGAAGCUAGUUUUUGAAUUCUUUCACAUAGUUUGAUUUAAAUUAGUGUUUGGCACAACAAAUUGUCACCAGUUCACCUUGACCAAACCUAAACUUGGUAUUAACUGGUUUGUUUUUUGUUUGUUUGUUGUUUCUGUAAGGAAUGGUAUUUAGAAACCAGGAUCAGGGAACUGGCGUGAACCCAGGAGGCAGAGCUUGCAGUGAGCCGAGAUUGUGCCACUGCACUCCAGCCUGGGCGACAGAGCUAGACUCCGUCUAAAACAAACAAACAAACAAACAAACAAACAAACAAACAAAUAAUAAGUUGAAUUAUUGACAGACCUUAACAGUAAAACCCAUUUAGGCUUUCCUGAUAGUAUCAAGCAGAAUUAGAUGUUGCUUCUUCUGGAUUCUCUCUAUGAUAUUACCUUGACAUUGAGUUGAAAUUUAAAUGUUUAUGUGCAUAUUCUCCUUAGACCAUCCUGUAAUCCCAGCUACUCAGGAGGCUGAGGCAGGAGAAUUCCUUGAACCCGGGAGGCGGAGGUUGCAUUGAGCCGAGAUUGCACCACUGCACUCCAGCCUGGCAACAAGAGCGAAACUCUGCCUCAAAAUAAUAAUAAUAAUAAUAAAUAAAUAAAUAAAUAUAAAUGGGAAACCUCAAUUAUUCCCAUUCUUGACCUAAGAAAUUGGAGUGAUUCAUUUCAUCAGUAACUUUCAGAAAAAUAUCUGAGUGAGGGUGGACAGCAUGGCGGGGAUACCCAGUCCCAUGCUACCAUGACUAGGACAUAGGUCUGCAUCAUUCUGGGUUGAGCAUUAUUCUGGGCUUAUUUGAUACCAAAACCUAAAGCCAUGUUCUCUUUUCUUUUCUUUUUUUGAAAUGGAGUUUCACUCUCGUUGCUCAGGCUGGAGUGCAAUGGUGCAAUCUCAGCUCACCACCACCUCCGCCUCCCGGGUUCAAGUGAUUCUCCUCCUUCAGCCUCCCGAGUAGCUGUGAUUACAGGCAUGUGCCACCACAGCUGGCUAAUUUUUGUAUUUUUAGUAGAGACGGGGUUUCUCCAUGUUGGUCAGGCUGGUCUCAAACUCCCGACCUCAGGUGAUCCACCCGCCUUGGCAUCCCAAAGUGCUGGGAUUACAGGCGUGAGCCACCGUGUCCGGCCCAUGUUCUCUUUUCUUGCCCCUGAGCCUUUGAGUGAUUGUAUCUUAGGGAGAAUCCACUUGCCAGGAUGUGGGUCAUAAUUAGAAUGGUGGGAAUAGUGGCAUUGUCUCUGCUUCACCCAGCCAUAACUGCCUGAACUAAGGCAGUUAUUUUAUGGACAGAAAGGAGCAGCUGGGUUGGGGAGGCCUUGGUGAGGUAGAUAGGCUGAUUAAAUAAUGAAUGAGUGAUGAAAAAGAGGGAGCUGCUGGUCCAGCCACACUGAAGUCCUCAGAGCCAAGGGUGUUGCUGAGGCUAAGGACCUGGGGUCUGCAGCAGGGCAGGCUCUGGGGCAAGUCAUCAAAAAGCCCUGAUUGACACCACCCCUGUUGAUGUCCUCUAGGGUUCCUGAGCACUUGUGAGAGUAGCUAUGUUGAAUUCCAGAGGUCUCUGUGAUUGCACAAGAGCAGGAAAUUUCCCUCAUUUAUUCAUGUGUCUGACAAUCACUUAUCAAGCACCUAUGUUUACAGAUGGUCCCCAACUUAAUGUGGUUCG
rnacentral:lncRNA from 10 species